UCAACGGCCCUUCUAAGGGCCACCCACAUACAACUAAAGCUCAUU
rnacentral:ncRNA from 1 species